UCAAUUAGAAAGUUUUACGGUACAAUUUAUUCACUUUUAUUAGGUAAAAAAUUGACCUUUCCAACAUGCUAAUUUAGAAAUGCUCUUUUAUUGCAGGUUGUAAAAUACUUUUUGAAUGCAAAAUCAUUCCAGAAGCUGAAAUUUCUCUACAUAAAGAACAAAAACGAACUCAUCAGAUCCUAUUUUGAUUGUUAUUUUGAUGUAGACAAUCGUCCAG
rnacentral:lncRNA from 1 species